rnacentral:lncRNA from 1 species
AAGCUAUUCACCAUUGUUUCAACAUGAAGGUUUGUAAUAAAAAUUUGUUUCUAUCAGCAUUGCUUUGCAUUGCUGUUGCAGGAGUUUUGGGUCAAGCUCCUAGUAAUCCUCCUACGUCUACGCCGGCGCCACCCACACCACCGGCUUCUACUCCUCCUCCGACGACUCAAGCACCGCCUACACCAACCGCCACUCCGCCACCGGUUUCUACUCCUCCUCCCACUUCAUCACCGCCCCCAGUGACAGCUUCUCCACCCCCAGUUUCAACUCCUCCACCCAGUUCUCCUCCUCCUGCAACUCCACCACCUGCUUCUCCUCCUCCUGCAACUCCACCUCCAGCUUCUCCACCUCCUGCCACUCCUCCACCAGCUUCUCCACCUCCCGCCACUCCACCACCUGCAACCCCACCGCCAGCAACUCCUCCUCCUGCUACCCCACCACCAGCUCCAUUGGCUUCUCCUCCAGCCACAGUCCCAGCUAUCUCUCCAGUACAAACACCAUUGACAUCGCCACCAGCUCCGCCGACCGAGGCCCCAGCACCUACCCUCGGGG